UCCCGCAACGAGCGCAACCCUUGUCAUUAGUUGCUACAUUCAGUUGGGCACUCUAAUGAGACUGCCGGUGACAAACCGGAGGAAGGUGGGGAUGACGUCAAGUCCUCAUGGCCCUUAUAGGUGGGGCUACACACGUCAUACAAUGGCUGGUACAAAGGGUUGCCAACCCGCGAGGGGGAGCUAAUCCCAUAAAACCAGUCGUAGUCCGGAUCGCAGUCUGCAACUCGACUGCGUGAAGUCGGAAUCGCUAGUAAUCGUGGAUCAGAAUGUCACGGUGAAUACGUUCCCGGGUCUUGUACACACCGCCCGUCACACCAUGGGAGCGGGUCUCGCCAGAAGUAGUUAGCCUAACCGCAAGGAGGGCGAUUACCACGGCGGGGUUCGUGACAAUCGAUUCCCGCGCCGCCAUGCG
rnacentral:rRNA from 1 species